UGGGGAAUUUUGGACAAUGGGCGAAAGCCUGAUCCAGCAAUGCCGCGUGUGUGAAGAAGGCCUUCGGGUUGUAAAGCACUUUUGUCCGGAAAGAAAUCCUCUGGGUUAAUACCUCGGGGGGAUGACGGUACCGGAAGAAUAAGCACCGGCUAACUACGUGCCAGCAGCCGCGGUAAUACGUAGGGUGCAAGCGUUAAUCGGAAUUACUGGGCGUAAAGCGUGCGCAGGCGGUUUGCUAAGACCGAUGUGAAAUCCCCGGGCUCAACCUGGGAACUGCAUUGGUGACUGGCAGGCUAGAGUAUGGCAGAGGGGGGUAGAAUUCCACGUGUAGCAGUGAAAUGCGUAGAGAUGUGGAGGAAUACCGAUGGCGAAGGCAGCCCCCUGGGCCAAUACUGACGCUCAUGCACGAAAGCGUGGGGAGCAAACAGGAUUAGAUACCCUGGUAGUCCACGCCCUAAACGAUGUCAACUAGUUGUUGGGGAUUCAUUUCCUUAGUAACGUAGCUAACGCGUGAAGUUGACCGCCUGGGGAGUACGGUCGCAAGAUUAAAA
rnacentral:rRNA from 1 species